CGCUGGCGGCGUGCUUAACACAUGCAAGUCGAACGGUGAAGCCCCGCUUGCGGGGUGGAUCAGUGGCGAACGGGUGAGUAACACGUGAGCAACCUGCCCCUGACUCUGGGAUAAGCGCUGGAAACGGCGUCUAAUACUGGAUACGAGACGUGAUCGCAUGGUCAACGUUUGGAAAGAUUUUUCGGUUGGGGAUGGGCUCGCGGCCUAUCAGCUUGUUGGUGAGGUAAUGGCUCACCAAGGCGUCGACGGGUAGCCGGCCUGAGAGGGUGACCGGCCACACUGGGACUGAGACACGGCCCAGACUCCUACGGGAGGCAGCAGUGGGGAAUAUUGCACAAUGGGCGCAAGCCUGAUGCAGCAACGCCGCGUGAGGGAUGACGGCCUUCGGGUUGUAAACCUCUUUUAGCAGGGAAGAAGCGAGAGUGACGGUACCUGCAGAAAAAGCACCGGCUAACUACGUGCCAGCAGCCGCGGUAAUACGUAGGGUGCAAGCGUUAUCCGGAAUUAUUGGGCGUAAAGAGCUCGUAGGCGGUUUGUCGCGUCUGCUGUGAAAUCUGGGGGCUCAACCCCCAGCCUGCAGUGGGUACGGGCAGACUAGAGUGCGGUAGGGGAGAUUGGAAUUCCUGGUGUAGCGGUGGAAUGCGCAGAUAUCAGGAGGAACACCGAUGGCGAAGGCAGAUCUCUGGGCCGUAACUGACGCUGAGGAGCGAAAGG
rnacentral:rRNA from 1 species